UUAUCUUCAACUUUUAGGGCUACAUUCAAGAGAACAUGAACUUGAUACUUGUUUAUGGGGUGCUUCUCCCAUCAUCAUUGUGCUUAGAGAUUUGGUGUCUUUUAAACCCAUCGUAGGUGUCUACAUCUAGCCUAUAUUUUGAAUCCCCAUAGGCCAUCAACUUCUUCUCCUGAUAGCGCUGCAGGCGGCCAGGCCGUGCAUCUGCACACGGUACAAUCAGUGGUAGUCACAAGGCUGCAUCACAUAUGUAGCCGUUUGCACUCCGGAUGGUUUCAGAGGAUGUCCAGAGGCUGUUCAAACACAUUUCGAGAGGAGACAACAAAGCCUUAAGAAGAUCAGAACAAGAAAUACAAAUUCAGUUUGUAUUAACAGAACUAUAUAGCUUUCUUAGAAGUAGGCUACUUUUAAGUUACAUUGUAUCGUUUUUUGUUUUUGUUUUUUUUUUUAGCAUGUUUUUGUUUUAGUCUAAGAUUUUAUUGACUUUGAGCGAUCUAUUUAAAUCUGAUAUUCUCCACAUCGUCAGUCAUGUUCAAAAAAAAGGAUCCAGAAAAAAUUGCCCUGGUGUCAGACGUGAGGAACUCAUACACCACUCUAAGCAUGUCCAACCAGGAGGCUUUAAAGAUGGACGGCACAGGUGACAUCAAGCAUUGCCAUGACAACAGCCAUGCACAGGAGGAUCGUGAACGAGAGAAGAAAGUCGCCAAGAAGAGGUUGUAUGUAGUCUCAGUCAUCUGCCUGGUUUUCAUGAUCGGUGAAAUCCUUGGUGGGUAUUUUGCAGGCAGUCUUGCGGUGAUGACAGACGCUGCCCACCUGCUUGUGGACCUGGUCAGCUUCAUUAUCAGCCUGUUAUCCCUCUGGCUCUCCUCCAGACCUGCUACACACAAGCUCAGCUACGGCUGGCAUCGUGCAGAGAUCCUGGGUGCGCUGCUGUCAGUUUUCACCAUCUGGCUGGUAACAGGAGUGUUGGUUUACCUGGCUGUGGAGCGCAUUCUCAACGAUGACUACACCAUCGAGGGCACUAUCAUGCUCAUUACCUCUGGUUGUGCAGUGGUGGCUAAUAUUAUCAUGGCCUUCGCUCUUCACCAGUCCGGCCACGGCCACAGUCACGGGGGUCUCGGUUCACCCGGACACGGCCAUAGUCACAACGGUCACAGCUCGCACGGCAACAGUCACGGGGGUCAAGGGCACAGCCACAUUAAGGAACACAGACAGAGGGCUCAGCAGGGCAACGCCAGUGUGCGAGCAGCCUUCGCCCAUGUGUUGGGAGAUCUUCUCCAGAGUGUCAGCGUGUUUCUCAGCGCCAUCAUUAUCUUCUUUAAGCCAGAAUAUAAGAUUGCUGACCCCAUCUGCACUUUCCUGUUCUCCAUAUUUGUCUUGUGCACCACCCUCACCAUCCUGAGGGAUAUUGUAAUUGUCCUGAUGGAAGGCACUCCAGCAGGGGUGAAGUACGGUGAAGUGCGGGAUGGUCUGCUAGCAGUGAAGGGUGUGACGGCGGUCCACAACCUUCACAUUUGGGCCCUCACCAUGAACCAGACUGUACUGACUGCACACGUAGCCAUAGACGAGACAGGGGAUGCUCACACUGUCCUGAGGGAAAUGACACAGGCUUGUUUCUCCACCUACAACUUCCACUCUGUUACGAUUCAAAUGGAGAGACAGGCCGACCUGAAGCCUGGAUGUAACCUGUGUGAGGAUCCCAAGAAGUAGGAAUCUGCCUAAAUUCUUGAUCUGAUUCCAGCAGAAUAAGGCCAAGCUAUAUGUUUUUGCUCUUGUAACCUCAAUAAUUAUAACAAGUUGUUUUGCACUGCUUGUUGGAUCCUAAGGCUUGUUCCUUAAAGGCAUACUAUGCAGUUUCCAUUUUUGUCAAACAGCGACCGCUAGAGUCGCUGUGGACUCUCGCCAACGAGUGAAAGCCUGACCGAAUGGGACUCUUGUCCGGUUCCUCACGCGGUCAGUUUCUCAUUUUCUUUUCCUUGACUCUUCCGACCAUGCUU